AACGUGCAGCCAUCACUCUGAAAUGUGUGGCUCCAUCCGUUGGUGAGAACCAUCCAUUGACAAAGAAAUUGCCAGCCACUACAACAGUUGGAAAACUGAAGGCCCUUUGUGAAAGCUUUUUUAAACUAAGUCCUUGAAGCUGAAAUUGUUUCUUCAAGAAGAGGGUUCUCCUUUACCAAUGUUGCCUGAUGAUGACAUGGUGUCUUUAAUGGACAUCGGGAUUGGCAACGAGUCCACUAUUAUUGUGGAUGAAGAGAGUUGACAAA